rnacentral:rRNA from 1 species
GACGAACGCUGGCGGCGUGCUUAACACAUGCAAGUCGAACGAUGAAGCUGGAGCUUGCUCCGGUGGAUUAGUGGCGAACGGGUGAGUAACACGUGAGCAAUCUGCCCUUGACUCUGGGAUAACUGCGGGAAACUGUAGCUAAUACCGGAUACUUUCCUUGGUGGGCAUCCACUGGGGAAGAAAGAAUUUCGGUCAAGGAUGAGCUCGCGGCCUAUCAGCGAGUUGGUGAGGUAAUGGCUCACCAAGGCGACGACGGGUCGCCGGCCUGAGAGGGUGACCGGCCACACUGGAACUGAGACACGGUCCAGACUCCUACGGGAGGCAGCAGUGGGGAAUAUUGAACAAUGGGCGAAAGCCUGAUGCAGCAACGCCGCGUGAGGGACGAGGGCCUUCGGGUUGUAAACCUCUUUUAGCAGGGAAGAAGCGAAAGUGACGGUACCUGCAGAAAAAGCACCGGCUAACUACGUGCCAGCAGCCGCCGUAA